GAUGAACGCUGGCGGCGUGCCUAAUACAUGCAAGUCGAGCGAACAGACGAGGAGCUUGCUCCUUCGACGUUAGCGGCGGACGGGUGAGUAACACGUAGGUAACCUACCUAUAAGACUGGGAUAACUUCGGGAAACCGGAGCUAAUACCGGAUAAUAUUUCGAACCGCAUGGUUCGAUCGUGAAAGAUGGCUUUGCUAUCACUUAAGGAUGGCCAUGCGCAGUAUUAGCUAGUUGGGAAGGUAACGGCUUACCAAGGCAACGAUACGUAGCCGACCCGAGAGGAGGAUCAGCGAAAACGGACGUGAGACACGGCCGCGACGAGUACGGGAGGAAGCAGGGGGGAAUAUGGGAGAAUGGGCGAAAGACGGAUCAAGAAAUGCCGCGGGAGGGAUGAAGGCAUUAGGGUUGUAAAGCUCUCGUACCAGGGAUGAUAGUGACAGUACCGGGAGAAUAAGCUCCGGCUAACUACGUG
rnacentral:rRNA from 1 species